rnacentral:rRNA from 1 species
CUACGGGUUGCACCAGUGGGGAAUAUUGCACAAUGGAGGAAACUCUGAUGCAGCAACGCCGCGUGGAGGAUGACACUUUUCGGAGCGUAAACUCCUUUUAUAUAGGAAGAAGAUGACGGUACUUUAUGAAUAAGCGCCGGCUAACUCCGUGCCAGCAGCCGCGGUAAUACGGAGGGCGCAAGCGUUACUCGGAAUCACUGGGCGUAAAGAGCGUGUAGGCGGAUUAAAAAGUCAGAAGUGAAAUCCUAUAGCUUAACUAUAGAACUGCUUCUGAAACUCUUAAUCUAGAAUAUGGGAGAGGUAGAUGGAAUUUCUGGUGUAGGGGUAAAAUCCGUAGAGAUCAGAAGGAAUACCGAUUGCGAAGGCGAUCUGCUAGAACAUUAUUGACGCUGAGACGCGAAAGCGUGGGGAGCAAACAGGAUUAGAUACCCCUGUAGUC